rnacentral:rRNA from 1 species
CAGGACGAACGCUGGCGGCGUGCCUAACACAUGCAAGUCGAACGGAGUCAAAAAGCUUGCUUUUGACUAGUGGCGGACGGGUGAGUAACGCGUGAGUAACCUGCCUCUGAGACGGGGAAUAACGUUCUGAAAAAGAACGCUAAUACCGCAUAACGUAUCGAAGCCGCAUGACUUUGAUACCAAAGAAUUUAUCGGCUUGGAGAUGGACUCGCGUCCGAUUAGUUAGUUGGUGAGGUAACGGCACACCAAGACCGCGAUCGGUAGCCGGACUGAGAGGUUGAUCGGCCACAUGGACUGAGACACGGCCCAGACUCCUACGGGAGGCAGCAGUGGGGGAUAUUGCGCAAUGGGGGCAACCCUGAACCGCAGCAACGCCGCGUGAAGGAUGAAGGUUUUCGGAUUGUAAACUUCUUUUAUCAGGGACGAAGCUUGACGGUACCUGAUGAAUAAGCUCCGGCUAACUACGUGCCAGCCGCCGC